CAGCACCAGCUUAAUAAGCCAAACUGUGGAUGAAUGCAAGAAGAAGGUUAGCGACCUGAAGGUGAAGGCCCGUAAAAAAGAAAGAGCCAGGGUGCAGUAUGAGCGGGGCACGGGUGGAGGACCCGCUUCAGAGGAAUUGAGUCCUCUAGAAAAAAAGAUGCUGGAACUCCUUCCUUUGGAAUCGGUACAUGGCCAUGAAGAUGGUUUUGAUACCUUCAAGCCCAGUUCUUCAGCAUCAAUGCAUGGUCUGGGUAACUCAUCCAAGUCUGCAGUAAUUGAAUACAAGGUUGAUGACAGCACGCCUGAGCUCAGUGAUAUUCAGUGUCAGCAAAGUCAGAAAGCUGCCAGUGUGAGUUCCACACCAAGAAA